rnacentral:rRNA from 1 species
CUACGUGCCAGCAGCCGCGGUAAUACGUAGGUCCCGAGCGUUGUCCGGAUUUAUUGGGCGUAAAGCGAGCGCAGGCGGUUAGAUAAGUCUGAAGUUAAAGGCUGUGGCUUAACCAUAGUACGCUUUGGAAACUGUUUAACUUGAGUGCAAGAGGGGAGAGUGGAAUUCCAUGUGUAGCGGUGAAAUGCGUAGAUAUAUGGAGGAACACCGGUGGCGAAAGCGGCUCUCUGGCUUGUAACUGACGCUGAGGCUCGAAAGCGUGAGGAGCAAACAGGAUUAGAUACCCUGGUAGUCCACGCCGUAAACGAUGAGUGCUAGGUGUUAGACCCUUUCCGGGGUUUAGUGCCGCAGCUAACGCAUUAAGCACUCCGCCUGGGGAGUACGACCGCAAGGUUGAAACUCAAAGGAAUUGACGGGGGCCCGCACAAGCGGUGGAGCAUGUGGUUUAAUUCGAAGCAACGCGAAGAACCUUACCAGGUCUUGACAUCCCUCCGACCGCUCUAGAGAUAGAGUUUUCUUCGGGACAGAGG